UGCAGGAGGAACCCAAUAUGACGAAGUCAUAUUAAGGAAUGGUUCCGACGACCUGCCGCCGAGCGAAGGCGAGGGGCGACACAGAUU
rfam:Clostridium sp. CAG:167 genomic scaffold, scf296